rnacentral:rRNA from 1 species
UACGGAGGGUGCAAGCGUUGUCCGGAAUCACUGGGCGUAAAGGGCGCGUAGGCGGCUCAUGAAGGCUGUGGUGAAAGUCCGGGGCUCAACCUCGGAUCGGCCGUGGCGACUCGUGGGCUGGAGCACUGUAGAGGCGGGUGGAAUUCCUGGUGUAGCGGUGAAAUGCGCAGAUAUCAGGAGGAACACCAGCGGCGAAGGCGGCGCUCUGGGCCGGAACUGACGCUGAGGAGCGAAAGCGUGGGUAGCAAACAGG